GAGAACACCCUGCACAGGCUUUUAGAGGUGUAGACAAAGGCUUUGUAAAUUUGGUACUUUCUAUGGUAGCAAUUAUGGUCAAGGAAAGUAAGAACAGGAUCUUAAAUGGAAAGAAAAUUGAAGAUAAUUUUUUAAGCUCAGCCUGACAUAGACUGCGCUUUAUUUCCUGAUAAGGAGCAGGGCUUGGGCUUUUGAAUUACUGGCCCUUGGAACUUAAUAAGCAACAAAUAAUAGACAUGAAAUGGAAAGUUCACUGCUGUGUAAAAUUGACUGAUUGUACUUCUUGAGGUGUCCUUGUUUCAAAUUACAAACACGAAGCACAGACUUGUAUCAGUUGAAAGGGACCUCUGGAGAUCAUCUAGUCCAACUCUGCUAAAGUGGCUUCUCUGCAGCAGGUUACAAAGAUUCUUCGUUGUUUAGUUGACUGCGAGGAUUUGGUUAUUAUCAUCUCUUGCUGGAUCUUGCCUUACCUGAAACUGUGCUUUCCAUGUGCAAAUUUACAGGAAGAAGUAAAGGCAUGUGAAGAGAUUUCAACCUCCCCUGCUCUAAGACCAGCUCAUGCAACAUGUCCUGCUGCAUCACAAAAUUGAGCUACAGUUGUUCUGAGAGACCCAUCCAUUGAAGUAAACAUCUGCUGGGAGCAAUGAGGCUCAUUCCUGGCUGAGACUUUGAUGUGCUCCUGUCUAUCCAUCUACUUGCACAUACUACAUAAAACAAAGAAAUGUUAGGAACAUACUGGAAUAUGAGAGAGCAUGUAAGGCCAAAGGGUAGAGUCCAAGCCCACCACAUUUUAUAGAGAUGUUGCAGAGCCUGCACAGGAGUUGAAGACAGGAGGGAGAAGUUGCUGCAAGAUAUUUUCAUUACAAGAUUGCACACUAAAAAAGAAAAUGCCACCCUAGAGCUUGGUGUUAACUUAGUUAUCUUACAGACAACUCAAUUUGAAGAAGAAUUACAGUUUAGAAAGCAAAGAGAAGAAUCUGUCACCUAGACUAAUAGCAGUCAGAGUUUCUUCAAGGGAGAAAAUGUUAGAGGCUAAAUUACUGCCAAAAUCCAUGGCAAAGCCAAAUACAGUGGGGAGGUUCUUCUGUGGUUCAUCAAUAAACUCUGGGUCAGA